GGUCGUAGACCCGAAACCAGGUGAUCUACCCUUGGUCAGGUUGAAGUUCAGGUAACACUGAAUGGAGGACCGAACCGACUUACGUUGAAAAGUGAGCGGAUGAACUGAGGGUAGCGGAGAAAUUCCAAUCGAACCUGGAGAUAGCUGGUUCUCUCCGAAAUAGCUUUAGGGCUAGCCUCAAGUGAUGAUUAUUGGAGGUAGAGCACUGUUUGGACGAGGGGCCCCUCUCGGGUUACCGAAUUCAGACAAACUCCGAAUGCCAAUUAAUUUAACUUGGGAGUCAGAACAUGGGUGAUAAGGUCCGUGUUCGAAAGGGAAACAGCCCAGACCACCAGCUAAGGUCCCAAAAUAUAUGUUAAGUGGAAAAGGAUGUGGCGUUGCCCAGACAACUAGGAUGUUGGCUUAGAAGCAGCCAUCAUUUAAAGAGUGCGUAAUAGCUCACUAGUCGAGUGACACUGCGCCGAAAAUGUACCGGGGCUAAACAUAUUACCGAAGCUGUGGAUUGUCCUUUGGACAAUGGUAGGAGAGCGUUCUAAGGGCGUUGAAGCAUGAUCGUAA
rnacentral:rRNA from 1 species